ensembl:snRNA U6 U6 spliceosomal RNA
AUGCUCACUUGGGCAGCACAUAUACUGAAAUUGGAAUGAUACAGAAGUGAGCAUGGUUCCUGCAUAAGGAUGACAUGAAAAUGUAUGAAGUGUUUCCAUAUUUU